rnacentral:rRNA from 1 species
AGCAGCCGCGGUAAUUCCAGCUCCAAUAGCGUAUAUUAAAGUUGUUGCAGUUAAAAAGCUCGUAGUUGAAUUUCGGGGUCAGUAGGUUGGUCAUGCCUCUGGUAUGUACUGGUCUAACCGAUUCCUCCUUCCUGAUGAACCGUAAUGCCAUUAAUUUGGUGUUGCGGGGAAUCUGGACUGUUACUUUGAAAAAAUUAGAGUGUUUAAAGCAGGCCGACGCCUGAAUACAUUAGCAUGGAAUAAUGAAAUAGGACGUUCGAUCCUAUUUUGUUGGUUUCUAGGAUUGACGUAAUGAUUAAUAGGGAUAGGUUGGGGGCAUUAGUAUUCAAUUGUCAGAGGUGAAAUUCUUGGAUUUAUUGAAGACUAACUACUGCGAAAGCAUUUGCCAAGGAUGUUUUCAUUAAUCAAGAACGAAAGUUAGGGGAUCGAAGACGAUCAGAUACCGUCGUAGUCUUAACCAUAAACUAUGCCGACUAGGGAUCGGAUGAUGUUAAUUUUAUAUAGACUCAUUCGGCGCCUU